GAAGGUGUGCUGUGAGGCAUGCUGGAGGUAUCAGAAGUGCGAAUGCUGACAUAAGUAACGAUAAAGCGGGUGAAAAGCCCGCUCGCCGGAAGACCAAGGGUUCCUGUCCAACGUUAAUCGGGGCAGGGUGAGUCGACCCCUAAGGCGAGGCCGAAAGGCGUAGUCGAUGGGAAACAGGUUAAUAUUCCUGUACUUGGUGUUACUGCGAAGGGGGGACGGAGAAGGCUAUGUUGGCCGGGCGACGGUUGUCCCGGUUUAAGCGUGUAGGCUGGUUUUCCAGGCAAAUCCGGAAAACUAAGGCUGAGGCGUGAUGACGAGGCACUACGGUGCUGAAGCAACAAAUGCCCUGCUUCCAGGAAAAGCCUCUAAGCAUCAGGUAACAUCAAAUCGUACCCCAAACCGACACAGGUGGUCAGGUAGAGAAUACCAAGGCGCUUGAGAGAACUCGGGUGAAGGAACUAGGCAAAAUGGUGCCGUAACUUCGGGAGAAGGCACGCUGAUAUGUAGGUGAAGUCCCUCGCGGAUGGAGCUGAAAUCAGUCGAAGAUACCAGCUGGCUGCAACUGUUUAUUAAAAACACAGCACUGUGCAAACACGAAAGUGGACGUAUACGGUGUGACGCCUGCCCGGUGCCGGAAGGUUAAUUGAUGGGGUUAGCGCAAGCGAAGCUCUUGAUCGAAGCCCCGGUAAACGGCGGCCGUAACUAUAACGGUCCUAAGGUAGCGAAAUUCCUUGUCGGGUAAGUUCCGACCUGCACGAAUGGCGUAAUGAUGGCCAGGCUGUCUCCACCCGAGACUCAGUGAAAUUGAACUCGCUGUGAAGAUGCAGUGUACCCGCGGCAAGACGGAAAGACCCCGUGAACCUUUACUAUAGCUUGACACUGAACAUUGAGCCUUGAUGUGUAGGAUAGGUGGGAGGCUUUGAAGUGUGGACGCCAGUCUGCAUGGAGCCGACCUUGAAAUACCACCCUUUAAUGUUUGAUGUUCUAACGUUGACCCGUAAUCCGGGUUGCGGACAGUGUCUGGUGGGUAGUUUGACUGGGGCGGUCUCCUCCUAAAGAGUAACGGAGGAGCACGAAGGUUGGCUAAUCCUGGUCGGACAUCAGGAGGUUAGUGCAAUGGCAUAAGCCAGCUUGACUGCGAGCGUGACGGCGCGAGCAGGUGCGAAAGCAGGUCAUAGUGAUCCGGUGGUUCUGAAUGGAAGGGCCAUCGCUCAACGGAUAAAAGGUACUCCGGGGAUAACAGGCUGAUACCGCCCAAGAGUUCAUAUCGACGGCGGUGUUUGGCACCUCGAUGUCGGCUCAUCACAUCCUGGGGCUGAAGUAGGUCCCAAGGGUAUGGCUGUUCGCCAUUUAAAGUGGUACGCGAGCUGGGUUUAGAACGUCGUGAGACAGUUCGGUCCCUAUCUGCCGUGGGCGCUGGAGAACUGAGGGGGGCUGCUCCUAGUACGAGAGGACCGGAGUGGACGCAUCACUGGUGUUCGGGUUGUCAUGCCAAUGGCACUGCCCGGUAGCUAAAUGCGGAAGAGAUAAGUGCUGAAAGCAUCUAAGCACGAAACUUGCCCCGAGAUGAGUUCUCCCUGACUCCUUGAGAGUCCUGAAGGAACGUUGAAGACGACGACGUUGAUAGGCCGGGUGUGUAAGCGCAGCGAUGCGUUGAGCUAACCGGUACUAAUGAACCGUGAGG
rnacentral:rRNA from 1 species